UCCUACGGGAGGCAGCAGUGGGGAAUAUUGGGCAAUGGAGGAAACUCUGACCCAGCAAUGCCGCGUGAAUGAAGAAGGCCUUCGGAUUGUAAAGUUCUUUAGUCAGGGAAGAAGUCAAUGACGGUACCUGAAGAAUAAGCUCCGGCUAACUACGUGCCAGCAGCCGCGGUAAUACGUAGGGAGCAAGCGUUGUUCGGAAUGACUGGGCGUAAAGGGUGCGUAGGCGGUGUAACAAGUUAGAAGUGAAAUACCCGGGGCUUAACUUGGGGGCUGCUUCUAAAAAUGUAUGACUUGA
rnacentral:rRNA from 1 species